AGGCAAAGAUCUAAAAGAACGUUGAUUUUUACCAAUCACGAGAUAUCAUGGAAGUGUCGAUCAACAUUUAGCUAGCUACCUUCAGCGGAUGACUGAAGUUAAAUCAGUAUCAUCUAAGUCCUCUCGCAUCCAGCAAAUUUGGAAAAUUUAUAUCCAAUGACAAAUAAACGGACAUUCCGGUAGCAAGUCAUUAUUCGAAUUUCUGACUCUUGAUGAAAAACAACAUAAGUAUGUUUUAUGUUAUAUAAUCAAUGAUUAAAACUUAGUACAGUAAAAGAUGGAUUGACAUAUAUCUGAUUUAUCUUAUUUAGUAUAAGUUCGGCUAUCUAUAUCUUUGGUCGAAACUAACCAACAUUUUACAACUGUUUGCGGGAACAUAGUGAAAUGUAUUAAAUUAAAAAUUGCUAGAUAUAUUUAUUUAAGGGUGUGUUGUAAGUUGCAAUUAUAUAAAGUAUAUACGUCCGAGUAAAUGUUCUUUUAUAAAUAAA